rnacentral:rRNA from 1 species
UAGCCGGCCUGAGAGGGUGUCCGGCCACACUGGGACUGAGAUACGGCCCAGACCCCUACGGGAGGCAGCAGUGGGGAAUAUUGCACAAUGGGCGCAAGCCUGAUGCAGCGACGCCGCGUGGGGGAUGACGGCCUUCGGGUUGUAAACCUCUUUCAGUAGGGACGAAGCGCAAGUGACGGUACCUACAGAAGAAGGACCGGCCAACUACGUGCCAGCAGCCGCGGUAAUACGUAGGGUCCGAGCGUUGUCCGGAAUUACUGGGCGUAAAGAGCUCGUAGGUGGUUUGUCGCGUUGUUCGUGAAAUCUCACAACUCAAUUGUGAGCGUGCGGGCGAUACGGGCAGACUGGAGUACUGCAGGGGAGAUGGGAAUU